GUGGGGAAUAUUGGGCAAUGGGCGAAAGCCUGACCCAGCAACGCCGCGUGAAGGAAGAAGGUUUUCGGAUCGUAAACUUCUAUCCUUGGUGAAGAUAAUGACGGUAGCCAAGAAGGAAGCCCCGGCUAACUACGUGCCAGCAGCCGCGGUAAUACGUAGGGGGCAAGCGUUGUCCGGAAUGAUUGGGCGUAAAGGGCGCGUAGGCGGCCUGGUAAGUCUGGAGUGAAAGUCCUGCUUUUAAGGUGGGAAUUGCUUUGGAUACUGUCGGGCUUGAGUGCAGGAGAGGUAAGUGGAAUUCCCGGUGUAGCGGUGAAAUGCGUAGAGAUCGGGAGGAACACCAGUGGCGAAGGCGACUCACUGGCCCGUUACUGACGCUGAGGCGCGAAAGCGUGGGGAGCAAACAGGAUUAGAAACCCGUGUAGUCC
rnacentral:rRNA from 1 species